CAGUAGCCGCGGGAAUACGUAGGUCCCGAGCGUUGUCCGGAUUUAUUGGGCGUAAAGCGAGCGCAGGCGGUUAGAUAAGUCUGAAGUUAAAGGCUGUGGCUUAACCAUAGUACGCUUUGGAAACUGUUUAACUUGAGUGCAAGAGGAGAGAGUGGAAUUCCAUGUGUAGCGGUGAAAUGCGUAGAUAUAUGGAGGAACACCGGUGGCGAAAGCGGCUCUCUGGCUUGUAACUGACGCUGAGGCUCGAAAGCGUGGGGAGCAAACAGGAUUAGAUACCCCCGUAGUCCCUGUCUCUUAUACA
rnacentral:rRNA from 1 species